UACGUAGGGUGCAAGCGUUGUCCGGAAUUAUUGGGCGUAAAGAGCUCGUAGGCGGUUCGUCACGUCGGCUGUGAAAUCCCGAGGCUCAACCUCGGGUCUGCAGUCGAUACGGGCGGACUUGAGUACUGCAGGGGAGACUGGAAUUCCUGGUGUAGCGGUGAAAUGCGCAGAUAUCAGGAGGAACACCGGUGGCGAAGGCGGGUCUCUGGGCCGAUACUGACGCUGAGGAGCGAAAGCAUGGGUAGCGAACAGG
rnacentral:rRNA from 1 species